AUACGUAGGGGGCGAGCGUUGUCCGGAAUGAUUGGGCGUAAAGGGUGCGUAGGCGGCGCGGUAAGUCUGGAGUGAAAGUCCUGCUUUCAAGGCGGGACUUGCUUUGGAUACUGCCGCGCUUGAGUGCAGGAGAGGUUAUCGGAAUUCCCGGUGUAGCGGUGAAAUGCGUAGAGAUCGGGAGGAACACCAGUGGCGAAGGCGGGUUCCAGGACUGAAACUGACGCUGAGGCGCGAAAGUGUGGGGAGCAAAAAGGAUUAGAUACCCCGGUAGUCCACACUGUAAACGAUGGAUACUAGGCGGAAGACGUAUCGACCCCUGUUGUGCUGUAGUCAACGCAAUAAGUAUACCGCCUGGGGAGUACGGUCGCAAGGAUGAAACUCAAAUGAAUUGACGGGG
rnacentral:rRNA from 1 species